rnacentral:rRNA from 1 species
AGUGAACGCUGGCGGUAGGCCUAACACAUGCAAGUCGAACGGCAGCACAGUAAGAGCUUGCUCUUACGGGUGGCGAGUGGCGGACGGGUGAGGAAUACAUCGGAAUCUACUUUUUCGUGGGGGAUAACGUAGGGAAACUUACGCUAAUACCGCAUACGACCUACGGGUGAAAGCAGGGGAUCUUCGGACCUUGCGCGAUUGAAUGAGCCGAUGUCGGAUUAGCUAGUUGGCGGGGUAAAGGCCCACCAAGGCGACGAUCCGUAGCUGGUCUGAGAGGAUGGUCGGCCACACGGGAACUGAGACACGGUCCAGACUCCUACGGGAGGCAGCAGUGGGGAAUAUUGGACAAUGGGCGCAAGCCUGGUCCAGCCAUACCGCGUGGGUGAAGAAGGCCUUCGGGUUGUAAAGCCCUUUUGUUGGGAAAGAAAAGCAGCAGGUUAAUACCCCGCUGUUCUGACGGUACCCAAAGAAUAAGCACCGGCUAACUUCGUG